UACGUAGGGUGCGAGCGUUGUCCGGAAUUACUGGGCGUAAAGAGCUCGUAGGUGGUUUGUCGCGUUGUUCGUGAAAACUCACAGCUUAACUGUGGGCGUGCGGGCGAUACGGGCAGACUGGAGUACUGCAGGGGAGACUGGAAUUCCUGGUGUAGCGGUGGAAUGCGCAGAUAUCAGGAGGAACACCGGUGGCGAAGGCGGGUCUCUGGGCAGUAACUGACGCUGACAGCGCGAAAGCCAGGGGAGCAAACGGG
rnacentral:rRNA from 1 species